GAUGAACGCUGGCGGCGUGCCUAAUACAUGCAAGUCGAGCGAACAGACGAGGAGCUUGCUCCUGACGUUAGCGGCGGACGGGUGAGUAACACGUGGAUAACCUACCUAUAAGACUGGGAUAACUUCGGGAAACCGGAGCUAAUACCGGAUAAUAUAUUGAACCGCAUGGUUCAAUAGUGAAAGACGGUUUUGCUGUCACUUAUAGAUGGAUCCGCGCCGCAUUAGCUAGUUGGUAAGGUAACGGCUUACCAAGGCGACGAUGCGUAGCCGACCUGAGAGGGUGAUCGGCCACACUGGAACUGAGACACGGUCCAGACUCCUACGGGAGGCAGCAGUAGGGAAUCUUCCGCAAUGGGCGAAAGCCUGACGGAGCAACGCCGCGUGAGUGAUGAAGGUCUUCGGAUCGUAAAACUCUGUUAUUAGGGAAGAACAAAUGUGUAAGUAACUAUGCACGUCUUGACGGUACCUAAUCAGAAAGCCACGGCUAACUACGUG
rnacentral:rRNA from 1 species